rnacentral:rRNA from 1 species
UGGGGAAUCUUGGACAAUGGGGGCAACCCUGAUCCAGCCAUGCCGCGUGAGUGAUGAAGGCCUUAGGGUCGUAAAGCUCUUUCGCCUGUGAAGAUAAUGACGGUAGCAGGUAAAGAAACCCCGGCUAACUCCGUGCCAGCAGCCGCGGUAAUACGGAGGGGGUUAGCGUUGUUCGGAAUUACUGGGCGUAAAGCGCACGUAGGCGGACCAGAAAGUUGGGGGUGAAAUCCCGGGGGCUCAACCCCGGAACUGCCUCCAAAACUAUUGGUCUAGAGUUCGAGAGAGGUGAGUGGAAUUCCAAGUGUAGAGGUGAAAAUUCGUAGAUAUUUGGAGGAACACCAGUGGCGAAGGCGGCUCACUGGCUCGAUACUGACGCUGAGGUGCGAAAAGUGUGGGGAGCAAAACAGGAUUAGAUACCCUGGUAGUCCACACCGUAAAACGAUGAAUGCCAGUCGUCGGGUAGCAUGCUAUUCGGUGACACACCUAACGGAUUAAGCAUUCCGCCUGGGGAGUACGGUCGCAAGAUUAAAACUCAAAUGAAUUG